UACGUAGGGGGCAAGCGUUGUCCGGAAUCAUUGGGCGUAAAGCGCGCGUAGGCGGCCCGGUAAGUCCGCUGUGAAAGUCCAGGGCUCAACCCUGGAAUGCCGGUGGAUACUGUCGGGCUAGAGUCCGGAAGAGGCGAGUGGAAUUCCUGGUGUAGCGGUGGAAUGCGCAGAUAUCAGGAGGAACACCGAUGGCGAAGGCAGCUCGCUGGGACGGUACUGACGCUGAGGCGCGAAAGCGUGGGGAGCGAACAGG
rnacentral:rRNA from 1 species